CAAACGACUCUCGGCAACGGAUAUCUCGGCUCACGCAUCGAUGAGGAACGUAGCAAAAUGCGAUACUUGGUGUGAAUUGCAGAAUCCCGUGAACCAUCGAGUUUUUGAACGCAAGUUGCGCCCGAAGCCAUUCGGUUGAGGGCACGUCUGCCUGGGCGUCACGC
rnacentral:rRNA from 1 species